ACUGCUCAGUAACACGUGGAUAACCUGCCCUUAGGUUUGGCAUAACUCCGGGAAACUGGAGAUAAUUCCGAAUAGGUCAAAUAUGCUGGAAUGCUUUUUGGCCAAAAGCCUCGGUGCCUAAGGAUGGAUCUGCGGCCUAUCAGGUAGUAGUGGGUGUAAUGUACCUACUAGCCUACGACGGGUACGGGUUGUGAGAGCAAGAGCCCGGAGAUGGAUUCUGAGACAUGAAUCCAGGCCCUACGGGGCGCAGCGGGCGCGAAAACUUUACAAUGCGGGAAACCGCGAUAAGGGGAUACUGAGUGCCAGCAUUUAUGUUGGCUGUCCACAUGUCUAAAUCGCAUGUGUUAGCAAGGGCCGGGCAAGACCGGUGCCAGCCGCCGCGGUAACACCGGCGGCCCGAGUGGUAACCACUAUUAUUGGGUCUAAAGGGUCCGUAGCCGGUUUGAUCAGUCUUCCGGGAAAUCUGACAGCUCAACUGUUAGGCUUCUGGGGGAUACUGUCAGACUUGGGACCGGGAGAGGUAAGAGGUACUACAGGGGUAGGAGUGAAAUCUUGUAAUCCCUGUGGGACCACCAGUGGCGAAGGCGUCUUACCAGAACGGGUCCGACGGUGAGGGACGAAAGCUGGGGGCACGAACCGGAUUAGAUACCCGGGUAGUCCCAGCCGUAAACGAUGCUCGCUAGGUGUCUGGGACGGUGCGACCGUUUCAGGUGCCGCAGGGAAGCCGUGAAGCGAGCCACCUGGGAAGUACGGCCGCAAGGCUGAAACUUAAAGGAAUUGGCGGGGGAGCAC
rnacentral:rRNA from 1 species